CAUGCCUUCACUAUCAUUUCAUCUUUCCAACACUUUCUAAAUUCAAGGAAAACAUCCCUUUCUUUUCCUCAAAAUCGGCAGCCCAUAUACCUCAAACACCCACAUUUCUCAAGUCUUAAACAACCUUAUUAAACCUUUAAAACCUUUUUUGAAAGAAGAUCUAAAAAGGUAGCAAAUAUGGAGGAUCAUUAGGAGCUUAUUCUUGUUAUUUUGGAAGCUUUAUUCUCUUCAUAAUCUUCAUUCCAAAGCUCACUAACCUCUUGCAAAAUUGUUAUUACGCGCUAAUUGGAUACCCGAACUGCUAGCAUACAUACGGACGCAAACUUGUAACUAAGUGGAUCUUGGUGCAACGAAUUAUGAAGUUUCAUGUUUACUAUGAAGACGAUGUCAUCCGUAUUUUGGAGGGUUUGAUCCAUAUAUCCCGUCUUCGAACGGGACAUAGGAUGCAAAACCUCGUUAUUUCAAAAACUUUAUUUUGAACAAGUCUUGUUUGUAAAACUUAUAAACUUAUGUCGUCUUUUGCUACAAAACAACUUAUGACUUGUAUCUUUACAUUAUGGAAUGGAUGAACAUCGUGUAUGUUUUAUAUCAUAUAGUUUGUUUACUUA